rnacentral:rRNA from 1 species
UAUCUCUGUAGAGUCUGCAUAUCAAUAAGCGGAGGAAAAGAAACUAACUAGGAUUCCCUCAGUAACGGCGAGUGAAGCGGGAAGAGCUCAAAUUUGAAAUCUUCAAGGUUUUACCUUGACGAAUUGUAGUUUAAAGAAGUGUUUUCUGUUGGAGUUUUGGUAAAAGUUCUUUGGAAUAGGACAUCAUAGAGGGUGAGAAUCCCGUAUUUGACCAUUAUUUCCAGCUUUGUGAUACACUUUCAAAGAGUCGGAUUGUUUGGGAAUGCAGUCCAAAAUGGGUGGUAAAUUUCAUCUAAAGCUAAAUACUGGCGAGAGACCGAUAGCGAACAAGUACCGUGAGGGAAAGAUGAAAAGAACUUUGAAAAGAGAGUUAAACAGUACGUGAAAUCGUCAAAAGGGAAGCGUUUGACACCAGUGUUGUUUUCUCGAAAAUCAAUUAAAAAUGGCGGGAUUUUGUGUUGUAUUGACUUUAUCAGCUUUCUGCACUCUUUUCCUGUCUUUUUUAAUGCACUUUUCGUUUAACAAGUCAACAUCAAUUUCUUUUGUUGUAAAAGAGUCAUUGGAAGGUGGCUUUCUUUUCGGAGAAAGUGUUUAUAGCCUUUGGCUUCUGCAAUCGGAGAGAUUGAGGUCUGCAGCGUAGAUCCUUCGGGGUUAGAUACAUUUGUGCUAAGUUAUAGCCUUUCAUAGACAACUUGUUGACUAUGAUCAGUCAUGUAGCUUACUCGCUUAUGCUAUUUUACCUACGCUUAGGAUGUUGAGUCAUCACACAUCUCU